UACCGUCUCCUUCCUCGUGACCAAAACUCGCCUUUCCAGAGUCACCUGCUGAGGAAAGCCGAUCCUUCUGCGGGGUGGCACGGGAGAACAGGCAGGACGGACCUCCGGGUACCAGACUUUGCCUCCAUCACCCAAACGGGAUCCUUUGUGGUAUGGAGAAUUGCAAGACCUCUUUACUUUAUCAAGGUAGGUGUCUCAGGCAAGGUGUGAUUUGAAACAAGCUACCUCUUCUUCAGACUUAGAAGACCAUGCGAAGUGUUUGACCUCUCAGAAUGAGUUGCAUUAUGCAAUAAAUCAGUAUUUAGAAACCUUGAAUGUGAUUAAACCUGGCCUCGAUUGUUUUAACGGGGAACUGUUAAACGCUGCAUCUAACAACAAACAAGUAGUAACUGGGAUCUUAUGCUUGGUCAAACUUUUUUUGUUGGGGCAGCUUUAUGCGUUCGGCCUUUGGAUCAGCCCACAGCACCCUGGACAAGCACACUGCUUUGACCUGAGAUGUGUUCUACCAACAGAUUCCUGGCCACCAGAGAGAUCUGCUAU